UCCCACCUCUUCCCAUUCCGAACAGAGAAGUUAAGCCCGCCGGCGCCGAUGGUACUGCGUAUAGUGGGAGAGUAGGUCGCCGCCGUCU
rnacentral:rRNA from 1 species